rnacentral:rRNA from 1 species
UACGGGGGGGGGCAAGCGUUGUUCGGAAUUACUGGGCGUAAAGGGCUCGUAGGUGGCCAACUAAGUCAGACGUGAAAUCCCUCGGCUUAACCGGGGAACUGCGUCUGAUACUGGAUGGCUUGAGUGUGGGAGAGGGAUGCGGAAUUCCAGGUGUAGCGGUGAAAUGCGUAGAUAUCUGGAGGAACACCGGUGGCGAAGGCGGCAUCCUGGACCACGACUGACGCUGAGUGAGCGAAAGCCAGGGGAGCAAACGGG